CUUGCUACACCAAAAUGUAAUGGCGGAAUGGGCUUUCGAGACCUUCAGAUCUUUAACUUGGCACUGCUAGGGAAGCAUGGUUGGCGCUUCAUGAUGAACCCGGACUCCCUAUGUGCUAGGGUGAUGAAAGGAAGAUAUUUUCCUGAGUCGGAUUUCAUGCAUGCCUCGGUACCAAACUCCUCCUCGGCGACGUGGAGAGCAAUUGUGGCAGCUCGUGAAGCUUUGCAGGCAGGGCUGGUGAAGCGGGUCGGUGACGGAUCUUCCAUCUCAAUAUGGGAGGACAAGUGGAUCCCUUCUACAAUCACAAUGGCUCCUUUGUUACGUCUAGCAAGUGUGACAGUACAUACUGUCAAUGAACUGAUUGAUACAGAUAGUUGGACAUGGCGCAGGGAGCUUGUCUUCAUCGCUCCGGAUGCGGCAGUAAUUCUGAAUAUUCCACUGCGACGAGGAGGCGGUGAAGAUUUUCUUGCAUGGGCACAUGAGAAGUCAGGCAUUUACUCUAUUAAAUCGGUGUAUCGAGCUCUAGUGAAUCAAAAAGAGCGCCUAGCUCUAGAUGAAGGGCAGAUUACCGGCACCUCAGCGAAUCAACAACAGAUGUGGAAUGCAAUCUGGAAACUCAAACUGACACCGAAAGUGAGGGUCUUCUGGUGGCGCGUGAUGAGGGGCAUUUUACCUGAUGAAAGUACCCUAAGACACCGACACAUAAGACAGAUCAACACUUGCAAAAUCUAUCUAGCCAUGGAUGAGGACCUUGGGCGUGUGGGCCACUAG
rnacentral:rRNA from 1 species